AGACCUCAACAGGAACAGCCUGGAGAAGCUUCCCGGCCAUGCCUUCGUGGAUCUGCCAGAACUGAGAACUCUUGUUCUUCAUAGUCAGCAUAGCGGGAUGACAACUAUGUCAUACGAGGCGUUUCACAACGUUUCCAAGCUUGAAACUCUGUUCAUCAGCAGUAAUUCAUUCACAACAUUUCCACAUCCCGCAUUUUCUGAAGAGGACUGGCCAAACCUGAAAUUCGUACAUGCAGAUAACAACGAUAUCACCAACAUAUCUACAUAUUCCAUUGAUGCCUUUGAGCAUCUGUCAUGGAGAAUCCACAGAAACAAAGAAAGGCUGUUCUCUCCAUUUUCCACAAUGAGGGCGGUGGU